rnacentral:tRNA from 1 species
GCCGAUGUGGUGGAAUUGGUAGACACGCCGUCUUGAGGGGGCGGUGGCGCGAGCCGUGUGAGUUCGAGUCUCACCAUCGGCACCA